CUGUGCGGCGAUUGAAAUUCUCGCGAAUCUUCUUCUCUUCACGCGAACACGACGGAGAUCCUCUUCUUCUUCACCGGCGAAAUGCGACACGCGCCACCGUGAGACAAGAAUGGAACUGCUUCGUCCCUCUUCUCAAUUUCUCCGUUCGAAUCAACAUUCGACCGCCGUAAGCCUCCGCUCCACUUUCUCGAUCUCUUUCCGGUGUCUCUCUUUCGAUCUCAACUCAAUACAAUCACGAGCUGAUAGCUAAUUUGUGCGAUGGAGAUGAUGAUGAACGUUGUUGUUGUAGGGGCCAAUUCGCGGAUGAGUGCUAUGAAGAUCGUUGAAUCACGUUUGCAAUGAGAACGAAGAUGCGACGAAGAUAUGCGGUAGAGAUCGAUACUGGUGAUUGAAGUUUGAUUGCAGAUUGCAAGCUUUUGAUUGAAGGAGAAUUGAAUCGUGAAUCCAAUGGAGAAAGAACGAAGUUUGUUACAGGUUGUUGGAGAGUGAAAAAGAUGAUUGGAGGAGAAUUGAUGGUGUUGAUGAAUGAAUGGUGGAGGUUGAAGAAGGUGUGGCUGAAGAGUGUGAAGGUGAUGAAGAAUGGCUGAGGAUGAUGAAAAGGAUGGAGAAGUGUUGAAGAUGUGAAGAAGUGAAGAGAGGUGGUGAAGGUCAAAAGUGGUGGAGAGAAGAUGGUGAUGAAGAUGAAGAAAUAUGGAGAUUGAGAGUGGAAGAAUGAUGGAGAGCUUUGAAUGAAGGUGGAGAAGAGAAUUUAUAGGUGGAGGCGCUUCUGAAUUCUGGUAGUUCUGAUUAUAUAGGUUCAAUGAUGAGGGUAUUUGGAGAACAAGCACAUGGUUUGAAGAAUGGGGGUGGAAGAAAUGAAGAGUAAUAGGUUUAGGAUAGGUGGUUAAAUGUAUAUCUUUGUAUAGAUUUUCUUGUAUUUUCUUUGUAAUGGAAUUGUAUUUUUUGUAAUGGGUUUGUAAUGGAUAUUUGAAAUGU